ensembl:lincRNA
AUGCACGUCCUACCCUGGAAUUGUGAUUUAUCCCAGAGACAAAGCACAGGAGCAUCCACUAUCUGGAGAAGCUCCCAGAAGACAAGGUCCCUCUGCACCCAGACGAUGUGGCUGUUCUGCAGGCUUGGACAGCGUAAUGACGUCAGAACGGGCAAUCCACAGGAAGGAGACCACCAAGCGGAAGGACCGAGUGAGUGCAGCCAUGCCGGACUUAACAAGCCCAUAGGAAUACAAGGUACAGAGAGCUGCAAUGACGUACAAGGAUGUCAGAUUGAAGACUGAGGUUUAAUAGUUUAUAGACAGUAUCUACAUUGGAUGAGGUUACCUUGGGAGGAGAGGUGGAGAAGAACUAACUAAGAAGAACUAAGGUUAGUCCAGGACCUAACAUCUGGGUCCCUCCAGAGAUCAGAAGUUGGAAUGAUCAGCAGUGGGCGUCAUUGAAGUAAGAAGAGAACCAGGAGAACGUGCUAAGUGAAAAGGUUGUUUCAAGAGAGAUCAAACAGUUGUGUUCAAUCACAGUAAGGGAAGGGACUGAAUAAAACAAUGGUUAAACGUUAACAGUUCAUUUUGGCAAUGUGGAGUUCUCGGUGAUAGUGAUUACCUUUGUCUCAGGGGUGGAAAGGGUGGUGAUCUUAUUGGAAUAUGUUUAGAAGAGAAUAAUGGCUUCGUUUUUCCUCAAUUCACUUAACUACUUCCAACUUUUCUCCUAAAGCAUAGGCUUUUCAAGGCUCUUUCAAUAAUUAAUUAGUUAAUUAAUUUUCUAUUUAUUUUCCUUAUUUUGUUCAUUGUGCUUUGCACUUUCUUUAAAUCAUUUUCACUUAAUAAUGUAGGAAGAUGAUAUUAGUAAAGCAUGGCACAUUUAAGCAAUAUAAGCCAUUUCCUAGGUCCUAUGGGAAGAACAGCCGAGUUAGUCUUUAGCACAUGGCUUCCUCCAACCUAGAUUUGCAAACAAUGUGAAUGCAUUCAGGCGUGACAAUUUUGUUAGAGUGGGUGUUCAAUUUGGAUGAUUUUAAUACAAUAUUUUUGCAAGUUGCUUCAGCAAAUAUUUGGAUAGUGGAAGCUCAGAUAAUGAGAGAGAGAUGCAAAACAAAUGAGAAUAAUCAUAAAGAAUGUUUCAUGUUCAAAAAAAAACUUUAUGUGGAGUAAAGGCAAGCCAAUGUAGUGGCAGGACAGCCUAGGCUUCAAAAAUCUGACUCUGAAGCUUGGUUCUGCAACUCGAUGCCUGGUACUACCUGUGUGACCUCGGCUAGCAGGUAAGCUACUCUAAGCCUUAAUUUUCUCUACUGCAAAAUGGGGUUAUAAUAAUAAUAACUCAGGAUUAUCAGGCGGCUUGAAUGGGAUGGUAUACAGAAAGGGCUUAGUGUAAUACACAGCAGCUAAUAGAUAUCCUCUAAAUGGUAGCUAAAAUAAAACAGAAGAGAGCUUUAGGAGAGAUGAUCACUUGACAUGCGUGCAUGCAUGCCAAGUUGCUUCAGUCGUGUCCAACUCUUUGUGAUCCGAUGAACCAUAGCCAGGCAGGUUCCUCUGAUUCUGGGGUUCUCCACGAAAGAAUUCUAGAGUGGGUUGUCAUGCCUCUUCCAGGGGAUCUUCCCCACCCAGGGAUUGAAUCUACAUCUCCUGCAUCCCUAUUACUGCUCAUGCUUAGAUGCAUGGUAAGAAAUACUGGAGCCCCCAGAUCUCUUUUUCUCUAAUUUUAUAUUAUCUUACCAUGUAGACACUGAAAUAGUCAAGACUGGCUAAACUGGAAAGCAGAAACAAGCAGAGGAAUAGUGCCUUAAAUGUUUGGGCCAAGUACUUUGGGUCAGGACAGUAUUUACUUAACAUAUGAAUGGAUUAUAAACUGACAAAGCCAAGGAGCUCUCCAAUCCCAACCUAUUCAGCCUCAUUAUCUUGAGCUCAAGAACCAACAUUUCAUCUAAAAUACACUGCGAUUAUCUAGUUCAGUUCCCUUAUUCUACAAUGAAGCCCCUGAGGCUUAGAAGGAAAAUGACUCAGAUAGACUCCUAAGCAAGCUUCUUUUGUUUAAACCAGAUAAUCUCUGUAACCUGCUCUGUGUAGUUCAAGAAAAAGGAUGAAGUUACUUGAAUCUCUCACUCUGAAGGACAUUUAUUUCUUUUAAUAUAUAGAAGCUCAAACAUAUUAUAGUACUUAUCUAGAUCCAAGACCUUAUUUUUCAGAAGAAGAAAUGAAUGCAUGUAGAGGAGAAAUGGAUUGCCCCAAGGUUAGCUAAUGAUACAGCUGAGCUUGGAAUCUGUGUUUCCUGACUUACAAACCAUUUCUCUGUCCACUAAAAUAAAACACUCAGAGGAUGCUAAGACUCCAAAGGACAUGUAAUUGAAUUCUGAGAUGCUGUCAAAUAUUAAGAAUGAAUAGUUGCAAGCUCUUCAUUUAACAAUAGCCAAGACACUCAUCUUGCCUUUCCACUGAAAAAUAUCAAGUGAGGGACUAGUUUUGCAAACUUUUCUUUUAAGAGACAAACACCACAGGCACGUGGUCUUUUCUUUUUUUCUCAGUGAGUUGACUUAAUGCAUAGAGCUUCCAUUAAGUAUCCAGCAAUCUUUUUCUGUUAAUUUCAUGAAGAAUAGUGUCUAUUUUAUCUGAAAAUAUCCUCAUUUUCUAGGAUACUUUGCUUAUUCUUGCCAAUUCUGAAGAAUACAAUUUCAGUUAUGUAAGUGAGAUUCACUGAUAAUUAGGUUGUGUGUGUGUGUUAGUCACUCAGUCAUGUCUGACUCUUUGCAACCCCAUGGACUGUAGCCAGCCAGGCUCCUCUGUCCAGGGGAUUCUCCAGGCAAGAAUACUGGAGUGGGUUGCCAUGCCCUCCUCCACAUGGUCCUCCCAACCCAAGAAUUAAACUUGUGUCUCCUGCACUGGCAAGUGGAUUCUUUUUUUAAAAUAUAAAUUUAUUUACUUUAAUUGGAGGCCAAUUACUUUACAAUAUUGUAGUGGUUUUGCCAUACAUUGACAUGGAUCCACCAUAGGUGUACAUGUGUUCCCCAUCCUGAAUCCCCUCCGACCUCCCUCCCCAACCCAUCCCUCUGGGCCAUCCCAGUGCACCAGCCCCGAGCAUCCUGUAUCAUGCAUCGAACCUGGACUGGCGGUUCGUUUCACAUAUGAUAAUAUACUUGUUACAAUGCCAUUCUCCCA